rnacentral:tRNA from 13 species
UGGACAGAUAGCGAAGUGGCCAAACGCAUCCGGCUGUAACCCGGCUCCGAGAGGUUCGUAGGUUCGAAUCCUACUCUGUCCACCAU